GACAGAGGCCUCGAGCGUUAGGCGGAAUCACUGGGCUUAAAGCGUGUGUAGGCGGGCCCGUAAGUGUCUUGUGAAAUCCCACGGCUCAACCGUGGAACUGCUGGGCAUACUGCGGGUCUUGGGCCAACUAGGGGCAGCCGGAACAAGCGGUGGGAGCGGUGAAAUGCGUAGAUAUCGCUUGGAACGCCGAAGGUGAAAACAGGCUGCUGGGGUUGCGCCGACGCUGAGACACGAAAGCCAGGGGAGCAAACGGG
rnacentral:rRNA from 1 species